GCUUUUCAUGUCUUCUCUAAUGUGGCAACGAAAAUCUUGGGGUUUUUAGCCACGCUCCACCCCCCACCUCCCCCAACACCCUCUGUAAAAUUAGGGCAAUAAAACAACCUUGUCCCAGCGUUAGCAGAGGGGAACUAAAAUACACAACAGAACUGUAAAAAAAUACACAUGAAGCAAAAAAGUUUUUAAACACAAGCACUAGAACUCCAGGACAGUGGCGUGCCGUGCUGUCAGAGCAUGUUCAGCAUGCCAAUAAGGACUGCAGCACUGCAAUCCCCAGCACCACCAGCCCACGCACCGGCAUCCUUCUCUGCAAAAGACUCUUGCCGGUGGGAGGAGGUGCGCCCCAGGCCCCACUGAGUUUUGGCUAACAGGGUGAGGUGAUGAAGGUGGGAAAGCUGGUAUUGGUCUCCUCAUGGCAGACAGAGGCUGUGUAGCUGGGGAUGUUGUACCACAGGUGAACACAGCCAUCAGGGAAAUCCCAUAUAUGUUAUCGCAGCCUUUUAAGUAAAUAAGAGUGAGACAGUGCUGAAGUCCUGAAUCAUUAACUGGGUGCAGAGGUACACUCCUGCCAGUGCUGAGCCCCCCUGCCCCACCAGAGGCACAGCCAGAGGUGUCUGCUAACAUACCAGUACAGCUUUAAGCUUGAAAAAUGCAUAUAACUGCUGAUAACAGCACUGCAGACAGCCUGGAAAGUGGAAAGAAAUACCAAAAAAAGAUAAAAAUGGACUAAAACUGGGCUUUGCUGUCCAACAAGGCAUAUACUUUCCCCAUCUCGAUUUCAGGAGGAGUGUACCACAGAGAGCUGCCGAAAGAGAGUGUCAAGGCACAAACCCGACAUGCUGAAACCUUGCAUUGAAAAAUCAUCCUUCUGAGUGCUUGAAAGUAAUGGAAAUCUUGCCACUUGGCAAUUUUAGGUUAGUUUUAGGCUACGUUCAAAACACUGCGCAUAAUACCUAUAAAGUGCAAAAAUCAUGACAGAUUCAGGAAAUUAGAGGGUGGGGGGCUGGGCUGCACCAUUCAGUAUAUCUGAAGAAUAUAUAACAGAGCAUUUUGGUAAAAAAGCACCAACAACAUUAAACUCCUCAGAAACUCAAGGAAAAAUGUAUUCAGUCUGGAUAGGAGAGAAUGCUAGAGGGUUAAAAAAAAUUAAAUUGUUAGGCCUAGGUCUUAAAAGUGAUGAAACACAAAAAACAUACUGAAAAGCUGCCUUCAGAAUUCCCACAAGAAACCCAAAACAAAACAAAACAAAAACCCAUCUCUAACCAAGUCCUAGCUUCCUCCUUCCAUAAAACUACCAAGGGAAAACACUUCUGCAUUUUUCCUUACUCGUACUUUCUAAUUCUGCCUAUAGUCAAAGGCACUGCACUCCCCGUAGGAGAGAAGAUUUUACAGCACAUGAACUUCCAGACUGACCUGGUCUCUAUUUAUGAGUUCAGCAAUAUGCAACACCCAGAUCUUCCCAAAAUGCUGUUUAUCAUCCACUCAGAAACUGAUAAAAAUAAAUCAUUGAUCUAAAUAGAAAAAAUUAAUAGACUCUGAUAUGAACCAUCUGUUCCUAUUUCUGGAUACAUUUCUUUAUGCAGCAAUUGUACCACUAAAUCCCUCCCACUGUCUUUAUUAGCUAUUGUUUCUGUCUUACAAAAAUCACGAAGAUGAAAAAACAUUUUUAUGAGUGUACAUGUAUUAUGUACAUGCGUAUGUAUCUGUCAACAUAUAUCUAGGUAGAAAAAGGGGGGGGGAGAAAUUAAAAAAAAAGAAAAAUAAUAAUAAUUUAAAAAGAAGAGUGUGAACCUCUGUGUUUAUCAAUUUGUUUACAGCUGAGUUCUUCUAACUGGCAAAGUUUCAGGUAUCACAAGCCCCCCAGGUCUUUUCUCAGACCUAAGACUCCAGGAAUCCUGCAAAUCUUCUGCAGAAGCAGCAAGCUGCACACUGGCAGUUCUCAACAGCUUUAGUAAUCAUCAGUAGCACAGAGUCCCCUAAAAAUUAGUAUUUCUUUGUGUCAGUUAUAAGGAUGUUGCAUUGAAUCCCCUGUUAGGUAUGUUCUUCAAAUUUCACAUCCCUGAAGUUUUCCUUUUUUAGCAUGCUUGAAAUAUUGAACUAAGAACUUGACAUUAUUGGAGGGAGAGCUUGGUGUUUCAACGGCCUUAUUACAAAAGAAUAAUAAAAAAAUGUGGAAAUUAAAAAGUUGGCAGAUUCUAGAAAGGGGCUGCAUAACUUCUUUCUCCUCAUGUACUCUCUAUUCCAAAUAGAGCCAAAAAGUUUUCUUCUAAAAGAAGACUUUUUAAAAAGAAGACUCCGUAUAUCAAUAACCAACAACUGUCACUGCAUUUGCUAAUAAUGUAUAAGAAGAUUAGUUUAAUUAGUCAAGCAGUUAAUACUGCUAUUAUUUGAACUAGUUUUCAGCACUGACACUCUCUUGAAAUUAGUUUUAUAUUCCUCAGGCUAUAGUUCCAGCCUGUUUACAGACCAGUUACAUAGCACUGGUUCACAUUAGUUAACCAUAACACAUUGUAUUAAACAUAUCAAAUUAGCUUCCCGAUCAAAGCUUUUAAAAAGAAAAUACAUACUAGUAAGUUUUAAAGCAAGUGAUUUUAUUCUCUUUUGCUAUAAUUUUGUAACAGCCAUAUGCAUAAAAAAAGUGAAAAAAUAAUUUGGCUUAAAAAAAGGUGUUUCUUGCCUGGAAGAGGAAAAAAAAAAAUCCUCAAAGUCAGAAAUUUCUAGUAACAUUAGGAAUCAAGGUAUCACUAAUAGCUAUCACAUGAAAUUUAAAUCUUAGCAAUGUGUCUAAUGAUUUAGAAAAUUAAAACUGUAUGCAAAAUCAUUAGUAAGGAAUUCUAAUUGAACACUAAGUCUUUUUCUCAUCUCUCAAUGCUGUAAAAACUGAAUAUUUUACAGAGCUUUUACAAAUAAACACAGUGCAGACUAUUCCUAACAUACUUGUGAGCAACACAGAAGAUGAAUUCACAGCAGAGGUGAGAUCUGAGUGCCUGAAAUCCCACGUAACAUUAAGAGCCAUUUUUCUUGCUCAGAAAAAAAAAAUAAAUUGUAGCACACAAUUAUCUUACAUUUCUGUAAAAUAUACACUUACAAAUUAAGAACUUGAUUUGACUUUAUAAACACUCUAUAGUCAAGCACUAUACUUCAGGACCUGUAACUCAUUAGAAAAUUCUACCUUAGAAAAAUGAAGAGACUAAUUCUAAACAAAGUAAUUAUUCCUUGAAAACAGACAGACUGCACACAGUAAGACGUUAUCACACUAAUAGCUCUGACGAAAUCCACAGAGCAAUUAAGCUAAAUGAAAAGAGGUAUCAGAAUGUGGUCCAAAACACUUUUGACACCAACUAUUUACAUAAUAAAUGUAAAUACAGAAUGUUUACUACUACCUCUACCCUCCAAGAUGAAGGUUCACUUACCUAUCCAUGUAAAGUACUACUAUAUAUACACCUUAAUCAGGAAGUAUUUUUUAAAAUCCUUUUGUCACUUGAUUGUCUGUCAGUAGUUUGACUCAAACUAUUUGUCUGAGUAAUGAAUGCAAAUUUGCACUUUGGUAGUCAGGCAUAAAAAGAAUAACUCUAUAUAUUUUGAUCUCCAAGGUAUGAAAAACAGCCACUUAAACCAUCUGAAAGUAAGAGACUGCCUCAAAACAGGAGACUGAAAAGUUUUCUCUGAAAGCUUUGUGUGAAAAUUGUUUUAUUUUCAAAAAUUGUUUGUUUGCCUCACAUUUUAUAGCUUGAAAAAGAUUAUUUGACUUGCUUCUAAUUAAUAGUCUUUGCUUCACAAGCUUAACAGAGUGCACACAAACAACACAUUUAAGCAUCAAUAGUGAUAGACAGCUAAAUAUACUUAUCCAUAUCCUAUGGAUUUAUAAUAAUAACGCUCUGCAUCCUGACAUGUGUUCUCCUCGUUAGCAAAGCCUGAAAUUCUCAGAAGAAAUGAGGCUGAUUUUAUUUAGAAGAUGUAGCAUUCAAAAAUGACCAGCUCAUGAACUGAAUACAUGCCAACAACCUUGCUGCAGGUCUUCAGCAAGUACCUGGCCAGGGAGCAGGGAAAUUGUAUCAACCUCCUCCGAGCAAAGUCAGUUGUGAGGAGUCAGGAGGUGACAUCGUCAUUCUGAGCACUUGUCCUGUAUUUCUCCUUGAAAAACAGGAGAGGUGAUGGACACUUGGUCUAGAAGGGCCUACUUAAUGCAAUACUUUUAAAACUAGUGUAACUCAUCCCUAGGAUAAAAGAAGUCUUGAAACUUUCCCAAAAAUUACAACAAUGAAAGGUUUUCUAGGCAGUAAAACAUUCUUUUACCUAAUUUUUCUUGAAGACAUUGAUCUUUAGUCUUCCUCAGUUCGUACACUUUUCUUUUUCCUACCAAUGUCCUAUUUGAAUAAAUACACCUAUAUGCAAGGUUCAUGGCUAUUACAGGAGAAAUAAGACGACAACAUUUUCUUGCUGUCUCACCAACUGUUACCCUUAGGAAAAAGAAAAAACUAAAAACUCUAUUAUAUACUGUACACAUAAACGAUGCUUCUAUAAUCCAGCUGAAGUCAGUAUGUUAAUUCAGGUCUCUAACUGGGUGAAAUCCUGAAAGGUAUUGAGCACUAUCAAUGCAUAUGGCAGUCUGAGAAAGUUGAAGAGGCUUCAUCACAUCCCAGGAUGAGGAAAUGUUCUCAGAUCCCUCCUGCAACACGAUGGUUCUGUUUUGCUGCUAAGACAAAGACCUGGAAAGGACAGGGGAAACACUCAGCUAAACUACAAUAUGAAAAACUCUUCCAGCUUUCCUUCAAGACCACAAGGAAUCACAGUGCAGUCAAAAAUGACCAUACUUUUACAACAGGUGCAAACCUCACAAAAUGUUCUGCAGUGAGUGUCCGUCUCCUUCAGCCAUCCGUCCGCAUGCGGCUGGAAAGGCACCAGCCCCACAGUGCGACUGAGCAUGUAAUGGGCUCAAGUUACAGGAGAUUAGCAGGAUUUCCCCUGUAACUGCUGCUCCCAUCUGCCAGAGACCAGACAUUGGAGCUGACAGCAGGAAGACAAUCUCGCCUGUUGCUCUCAUGACCCUUCGGCUGGUGCCCCAGGGGCAUGCAUGAGACCAGCACACGGCAGAGGGGGUGUCAGAAAAGGCCGGUGGGCCAAAGCAUGGCAUGAAGCUGGGCAGAAGAGGGAGAGACAGCAAUGAGAGGGAAAGGGAGGAGGAGACACAAGAGACAAGAGUCUGGAAAUCCUGGAUCUGGUCAAGCAGAAGGUUACAACACAGAGGAAGAUGAUGCCCAAACCAGAGAAGGGAGAGUAAGCAGCACAGGCACCACCAGCCACCAGGAGCCAUCCAUCCUCUCAACAGACCACAUGCACAUAUCCCAACAUGUGGCAAGAUCUUCCGUGGUCUGUUAGUUUGCCUCUAAAGAGGGAGGAAACUUGCAAGUUACCUCAACCCCAACCCCCCAAACCCAAGACAAGUCACUAACACAACCCCUCAAAAGGUGAGGGUUCAGCACUGCCUCCGCAAUCCUAUUUCAAGUGCCACUGCUUCACAGCGCAUACACUGGUCUUCAACCACUGUAGAGCUUUAACUGCAGUCAAACGGCGUAGAGGUGCUCCCAGAUACCAUUCCUAGGACUCCUGAAUCAAAACCACAAAACUAGCAGCCACACAGAUCCUCGUUAUCAUGGGUUAUUAUGUUUUAGAUCCUCUUAUGCCCAAGGAUCAGAAGCCCCUCAACUCAAUAGGGAAUGCCAAAAAAAUAUCACAUCGCAUUUGUGGACCUUUUAGCUAGGACUCAUCAAAAAGCUCAAGAGAAAAUGUAUGCUCUUUCUCAAAAAUGGCACUUGAGUAGUGCCAUAACAAGGCAUGAAUUCAUGGACUAAAGAAAAAGGUAUUUUUAAAAAUAAUUGCUCUGUACAUUGAGCAGUUAAUUGUUCCAAAGUGACUGAUUCCAAAUGGAGAUAUGCCCAUGCGCCCAUUCAUUUUCCACAUCGGUUACAAAGAAAAAGGCCAAAAUUUCAAUUUUCAAGCCAAUUUAUACAACCAUAUUAUAUAUUUCAUUGCAAAACAACAUCAUCUUAGAGAAGCUGAGAAAUUCAGAUGUCAAACUCAACAAAGAAUAACAAACAAAGGUAAAUUCCCAACUCGGAAAAUGCCAUCUGCUCUGCUUCACGUGCUCCUGUAAUUAAUGAAUCAAGGGAAAAAUGCUGCUAAAGGUGACUAUUAAGCACAAUUUUCUGAAUGAUGUUGAUAUAACUUUUGGAGAAAAGGACAAUUUUGGAAGUAAUAAAGAGGAGGAGAACUGAAAAAUGCAGAACCCACACAGUUGUUUUUCCUUCUUUACUCUUGAAUCAUAGUGAUUAGGUCUAAUUCCAGAAACAACAAAACUUGUCAAUUUAAAGGGAGUUUUGCAAGAAGUGUGGAGCAUAUGUAACACUAACAAUGAAGUCACAAGCAAUUUAAGUGACAUUCAGUGUAACAGAUAGGUGAUUUUGAGCCUUGCACAGAUGACCUAUGGCAACGGUGACAUUUUGUCACUGAAGAGAAAUAGGCAUUUGUGGGCUGUGAUUCAUCCUAUCCCAAAGCAGCUAUUCUAAGAGAUUCCAUCAUAUCCUAAAAGCAUCUGUGUUUCUCUACUGGUUACCUGAGAUGGUCACACUUAGGCUUCUUCUAUCGUGUCCUUCAUUAAACAGUUUGUUUCCAGCAGCAAACUCCAUCAGGGACUCAGCAGCAGCAGGGACCAACUCUAGCAGGUUUGGAACUGCCAGUAUCACAUAAGAAAAAACACUUCAGUCAUCUUUGAGAUUUGUAAAGAAAAAUGAUGCAAGCCUUUUAGAAAGCAAGAACGGUGCUGUAAUAAUCCUCCUGUCAGCUCCAAGGCCAUCGACACAAUUCAGAUGACCAAACUGCUCUGCUGCUUCGUGAGGCAGGAGUACCGAGCUCCACCCAUCUCUGGCCUCCAGUUAUUGCCAUACCAUUAGUCAAGAGACCUCUUUACAGCUCAGGAAGUGGAUAGAUUUUUCUUCUCCCUUCCUCUAAUUCACAACAGCAAGGACGGGUUAUUUAAAAAAAAAAAAAGACUGACUGAAGCCACCGACACUACCUCCUUCUGACAGAAUGUGCCUUAAUCUUACCACUAUGCCUUCAUCCUUCCUGUCCACACUCACCACUGCUCCCAUAGGAGGCAUAUCCAGUUCUAACUAUUCCCAGGAUUCAACAGCUUACACCUCCAAAAAGAAUCACAACCCUCUUCUGUAGCACCCAGCAAUGUGAAUGACACAGCCCACUUCAUCUGCCAUGGUACAAAAUGGAAUGGGCUUUUCAAAGAAUUACGAAAAGAACCAGUGAAAUCAGAUACUUUCUAACAGCUGCAAGUAGCAGCAGAAAUACACUCCACCACAAACAGGAAGCAAAGAGCAUAAAGCAUUAUGAAAUUAAAUGAACGAAUUGAGUAACAUAAGACAUACCUCUAAACUGCCAACAGGCAAUACAGAAUCCCAAGAGUGAAAUACCUGAUGUACAUUGCAUCACCCAGAGAUGUCUAGAUGACAUAUAUAUCCCAUGUCUUUUUUCCCCCUUCUCAGAAUACAGAGUCCAAAACCCAGGCACAAGCAGACAGAAGUAGUACUUAAUUUACCUGUUUUGCAAACAUUAAAUCUAAGGUACCUAUAGUAAUGAACUUUUAUUAGAUUUCAUUAACCUGAAAAGCCAAAGCUAACAUUUAUUCACUUAAAAACUACAAUAAACAAACAGUUUGAGGAAGGCUAGCAUUAAUAUCUUGCAAUAGAAGGUAGCAAAAUGUCCCAGAAUUAUCAAUCUUGGGAAUUUCAAUGGAUAUAUUGACAAGGCUGAACAUGCUGAAGUCCCCCAAACUCACAUUCUUCUGUUUUUUAAUAAAAUGCCAGUUUCCUCAUAGUCCCCUUAGCACCUUCACAGGUCACAUCUGGUCCCACCUGCAGAGCUGAUCAUAUUUUUGACCUAAUGCUUGACAGAGGAGUUGAACAUUAUGGAUAUCACAACACUAUUGCAGUUACGGAAAGAGCAGCGCCUGAUUCAAGCAAGUGAAAGCAUGACCAGUUUCCUAGGAACCAGAAAGCCUCAGCAAAGAGUGAAAAACUCUAAAAUCUUUUAGCACUUGCAAACAACAGCAGGGCAAGGGCCCACACGUUAGUAGUGAUCAAAACCACAGUCAACUCCUGACAACCAUUACUGCAGUAAGACACCCCAAAAUCACCCUGAUGUUUUUGGUAUCUCACUAUACACACACAUAGGACAGAAAUUCCCAAAUUGAGAAUGGCAAGUAAAUGCUGAAAUAACUAUGCAUCAAAGCCUAUGAUAGGGCCUUCCAUGAUCAGGGCCUAUGAUGUCCAUACAGACAUACUGGACAGCAAGUAAAUACUCCACUUUGUGAAAACCUUGUGCUCACUUGGAAAGCCCCCUCAGGAAACAAAAACACGCCUCACCCAUAUCCACCAACAGCCAGCUUACACUGCUCAAGUCGAGUACAUUUAGACACGGCAGCACCUUAAAACAGGGCGUCUUUUUUUUCUCUCUGAGACCUGUGAACUCAAUCCAUACUCCUUCCAGUCUUAAAUCAUUAACAAAAUGGAAGUCUUCUUUCUCCUUGAAAAUGUGACAGUCCUACCAUUGCUGAAGAAACUCACCAUGGAUAUACUGUCCUGAGCAACCACUGGCUAGUGCCAAGUCCCCUGUUCAUGAAAAAGAUAAGUAAUAAAGCCAACUGUUGGCGCACUUAAAUAAGCGUAGUGCUAUAGAUCAGAGACACCAAACUUUAGAGAGGAGAGGGAUCUUCCCAUACUACAAAUUAUCUUCUGUCAGAGGAGGUAUGGGCUGAUAUAUAGUCAACCUCCCAGACCUCCUUUUUGAUACCAUCAGGCAUGAAAUAUUUGUCUCACACCAGCGAGGGGGAGGACACCUCAAAAGGAACCACAAAAAUAUUAUGAACAGUUUGGGUCCUUCCUGGAUAAACUAAGGGCAAUGGAGAAACAGGCAGCAGUGGGAAGCUGCUCCCCCAUCACUUGAUCCUUCCCCUGUAAAGACCUACAAAGCUCAAUUUCUGUAUACACUGCAUUCUAAUAUCAGUGUCAAACCAUCAGGUGAAUCAGCUAGAAACAGUCUCAAAUUUUCCCAAUGUGGAGACACAACAGACCUAUUUACCCUUCAUUACAAACAGCUGCAGCACCAUCCAAACAAGGAGGAGUAGGAGAAGUCAAACCUAAACUUGGAAUUCAGUGGUGAGCAGAGGAAAACAGUCAAGAGUUUGCAGACAGACAGACCCUGGUUUUGUUGCUUUAAGAUACAUGAUCCCAACGGGUCAUAGGUCAGAAGUAUUUCUGGACUUUACACUGACAUUAUACUUUCAUAG